rnacentral:rRNA from 1 species
UACGUAGGGUGCGAGCGUUGUCCGGAAUUAUUGGGCGUAAAGAGCUUGUAGGCGGUUUGUCGCGUCUGCUGUGAAAUCCCGAGGCUUAACCCCGGGUCUGCAUUCGAUACGGGCAGGCUAGAGUGUGGUAGGGGAGAUCGGAAUUCCUGGUGUAGCGGUGAAAUGCGCAGAUAUCAGGAGGAACACCGGUGGCGAAGGCGGAUCUCUGGGCCAUUACUGACGCUGAGGAGCGAAAGCGUGGGGAGCGAACAGG